AACCCCAUGGAUCGUCUCUCGAGUCGUUCCCUUUGGUUGCUUACAAUCCACCACGCUUCCCUGCAAGUUCACGCCCUCGUGAACGGAAGCUGAGAGCCGCAACUCUCCCGAGAGCCCCACUCUCUUGACACCCUACCCCUCGGGUCGAGCCCAGCGGGAGCAAACUGGACCAGCCAGAUGUCAAUCAACAUGUGGUGUGAUUCCCCUAGCCAACCAACAGAGUCGGACUCGAGACCCCUCUGAUACCAAAUGUAAGCUCCUGAGUUUGGACUUCCCGGGAGGUCACCCAACCCAGUACUAUUCAAACCCAAGGACGCUUAACUCCAACUAUCCCAAGACCCUUAACCGAUUGGAAAAAGGGGUGCACUCUUGUUCAUGGGCCCUUUCCCUCUAUAUUUGAACCCCAUGGAUCGUCUCUCGAGUUGUUCCCUUUGGUUGCUUAUAGAUCAGCAAUAUGAGGAAGAGGGUAGACAUUAGAGAUUGUCACUUCGUUAACGGACGAUAGUUGAUGUAGAAAUGAAUACUCUCAUUAGGCUUUGUCACAAGAUGAGGUUCACAUACCCAAGGACUCUAUGACUUUCGAAUAACACCCUUUUCCAAGAUCUCCUUAAUAUUUACACGUAAAAUUUUGAUCUCUUUGGGUGACUGACGACGAAUAAGAAUCUUGAUUGGACAAGCAUCCCCAAUUGAAAUCAGAUGACGUGUGGCAUUCUUGGCCCCAGAUGAUAGAUCAAAUUCAAAAGGAUCGGCAUACUCCUUCAUGAGUUAGUCAACACAAAGACUGUAGGAAUUGGAAAAAGGAAGAGUGGAACAAGACAAAAAUGCUAGAGGAAGUAAUGGGGAGACAAAAGUAAUGGAAACAAAGGUAGAAGCAAAAAAAUAAAGAGGUACGGAAGUAAAAGGAAUGGAUGAAAUAUAAGGAAGUAUAAGAUGAAAGGGAGAAGCAUCAAAGUCAUAUUUGGCAUGAUUGCAUUACAACUAAUCCAUACCAAAGAUGAGGUCAAAAGCUUAACUUGGCACCACCCACAAUGACUAAAAAUCAAGUUUGAGAUCGCCCACAUGCAUAACUAGGUCUACCUCAUCCCGUGCAUAUACAUGUAUAUUGCCAUUGCCAUAAAGAAUGAAAACUGGCUCUGCCACACAACACAAAUAUAAAUGGCAACAUAUGGGAAUAGGUUGAGCAAUAGAAGAUAAAAUCAAACCUAUAUCAACCAACACAGAGAGAAUAAUAGGAAAUUGUUUGUUAUAGAAACGAAUUUGGAAAGUAAAUACUAAAUGAACUGAUGCCAAAUGAACCUCUUAAUGAUACUCUUGAAAAAAAGAUGGAGGGGUUACUAACUUAUUCAUGCAAGGUCCCUCUGUUACUCAUGCAACUCUUUGUUUCCCAAAUGCAUCUCAGUGUCCAGAUCUUCCACUGCAAUAGCACCAAUAGGACGUUGACACCAAAGUCUCCACCCAGAAAAUGGAGUUCGGAAAACGCCGACAAUGUUGAUAAGUGUGACCAACUUUGUCACAUGGCUAGCAAUGAACAUCACGGCCAUAACCACGUUCUUGCCCUUGUCCUUGAACUCAAGUAUUAGCAACAUCAACCUCCAUUGGAAUAAGACCAUCUUGCACAAGAAGUGGAACUGAAAGAUGUGCAGCGAAAAGUGGAAGAAGCAAUGUUUCAUAACGUUGUGCCAAAUGAAGGGCAUUGUCAAGGGUGGUUGGAGCAAGUGCAUGCACAAGUCUUACAAGAUCUUGACGAAGUGCUAGCCACAAUAUUCUCAACUUGAUCCGCUUUGACAUAUUUAGCUCCACACAUAGUAAAACGCUUUGAAAACGAAUGCCAAAUUGCAUCACCAACUCUGAUGGCCCUUGACAAAAAUGGUGCAAUUGUUGGAAGGCAUUAUCACAAUUGUCAGCAUGUCCAAAUGUGCAUUUGAAGAUAUUCGGGAAUCCCCACGAGUGGCUACACUCAAACCAUUGUACAAAUGUAGUGCUGUCCCUUGAAGACACGUGGGAAACUCAUGCAAAUGUCAAACAUCAUCCCAAAAAUGAUAUAUAGCAAUCACUAUGAAGUGAUCGAACCAAUGGUACACGUCAUCCCUAGGAUUCCCACGAAAGAACUCCGGUCGAAUGCGAGGAUUGGCACCAAAAAAGUAGAAGGAGCUAUACCAUGUGGCAUGAACACCACCAUCAACUGAAUUUGGUUAUUCAAUUGCAAUCACAUAACAUCAAACAAUUGAACCAAUUGCUGCUCUACAAUCAAAGGAGGAGAAGACUGCUGCUUUGCUAUAAAGAUGAAUGAAAAGGAAAGAGCAAAAAUAGAAAAAUAAGAAAAAGCUAGAAGGAAAAGGACAUUUAGACAAUGCAAAAGCUAGAUUUGAACUAAAAUCCUGAAAGGAAAGAACAAAAGAAAAGAAAUGGAAAAAAUUAAAUCUAGAUGAUGCAAAAUUUAGAUUUAAAUAAAAAUUCCAAAUAUAAGCACUCUUCAGGGAUGAGUGUAUACAAUAUGAAAAGGGAAUAUAAAAAAUGUGCAUAUCAAUAAACAUAAAAGCCAUAAUUUAUAUAUAGGAGUGAGUGGUCCAGAUUGAAACCAAUCUAAUGACUACGAUACUAAUAUUAGUAUACAGUAUUGUAGCUGUACACUUGGACCUUACAAAAUGAUAUUUCGAUUAAUUCCUAUUGUGAGUGCAUGGAAUAUAGAAAGGGAAUACAGAAAUGUGCAUAUCAAUUAGCCCAAAAACCCUAGCUUAUAUACAAAAGUGAGUGGUCCGGAUUGAAACUAUUCCGACGGCUACCAAAAUCCCACUACGCUAAUAUUAGUAUACGGCAUCGUAGCCGUACACUUGGCCCUCACAUCAUCCCCUCCUCUCGGAAUAAUGGAAGGCCGUCAGGGUUCUCUUGUAGAUGGGCCGAGAUCUGGAGGAACAUCAGGAGGAGGCAUCGGUGGAUCUGUAGACGGUAUUAACUGCUCCUGAUCCCUUUGUAUGAAGCGUUUUAACCGCUACACAUGCACAAUCUCCGGAGGAUCGGCCUGCUGAAUGUCAUGCCGAACCUCAUAAACUUAUGGUCCAACUUGCCGCAACACCCGAUACGGUCCUUUCCACUGCACAAAGAGCCCCUUAGAUAAACCACGUACCGUAAGAUGGGGAAAACGGACUAACACCAAAUCAUCCACUUUGUAUUCUGCAGGUGGACGAUGGUGGGAAUUGUAGUGCCGUUGUUGUCCCACUUGUACGCGGCCAAAGUGUUCAGCAGACUCUGCUCGGACAAGUGGAAGAAUGCUUGUCAAAUAUUGAUCCCAUGACCUAGCAUCAGGAGCUCGUGGCAAUCGCGAAGGUAAACCCAACUCUGUUGGUAAUAUUGGAUCAUGACCAUAUAGAAGUUUAUAUGGUGAAGCACCAACAGAACUCUGCACCCCUGUGACAUAGGCAUACCGAAGAGACGGCAAAUAACCAUCCUAAUCCGAAUGCUGAAAGUUCACAUACUUCGCAAUCAUCCCUUUGAAUGUCCGAACGAGCCGUUCCACUAGACCGUCUGAUUAUGGAUGAUAAGCACUCAUAAAAGUGUGGCGUAUCCCCAACCGAGAUGUUAAAACAUGAAAUACCUCAGCCAUAAAUGCAGGACCAUUAUCCGAAAGAAUCCGCUCUGGACAAGAAUGCUGGAACACCACUCGAUUGAGGAGGAAGUAUCCAACAGCAGUUGCAGAGGCACUAGCAAGAGCACCAACUUCCACCCAACGAGUCAAGUAGUCAGAAGCAAUAAUAACAUACUCAUUGCCAGCAGUCAAUCGUGGAAAAGGUCCCAUAAGAUCAAACACCACCAACUCAAACGGACGAGAAACUGCAAUUGACUCCAACCGUCCUUCCGCAGCACAAGGGGGAGUAUUACGAGCUUAGCACCAAACGCAGUUACGCACAUACCGGAUAAUAUCACGUCGCAUCUCUGGCCAAUAGAAAGAUCUGCGCAGCUUCUCGGUGACAUGACGGUGUCCUAUAUGACCACCUAGAACAGGAGAAUCAUGGUAGGCAUGGAGAAACCGCGAAAUAAACACCAAAGGCACCACCAGCCGUAAAUGACCAUCAGGGUCCGUCCCCACAAAAUAAAGAAGGCCAUCUUCAAGGCGAUAUUGAGAAUGUAAAUGCCAAAAAGGCAAGUCAUCAGCAAGUGAUGCAAGAUUCUCAAACCCAUCUCGAAGCCUUCGAAUCCACGGCUCAAUCUUUUGAGCCUCGCGAACCUCAUUAAGAGAAGGUAGAUCUUGCUCUGCGCCCUGUGGACACUGAACGUCAAGGAUAGCAACUGUCGACGGCACAGAAUCCUCAUCUAGAAAAUCCACAAAUGCUGGAACAACAGGUUUGUCAAAAACAUGAGAAGUGAGUGGAGAAGGAAGAGGAGCUCGAGAAAGGGCAUCAGCAUCAGCCAUAGAACUCCCUGGGCGAUGAACAACAUCGAAAUCAUAUAUCUGAAGCUUCAAAGCCCAUCGAGCCGUACGACCAACCAGGUUCUUCCGCUUCAAUAAUGAAGUAACAGCAGCAUGGUCACCUUCAAGUAACGUCCGAGAACCAUGUAGAUAUGCAUGAAGUUUCUCGAAACCCCAGACUGCUGCUAAACACUCCUUCUCCGUCGUGGAGUAAUUCAUCUCCGCUGGUUGUAAUGUACGGCUUAUGUAUGCAAUGGGAUGGCAUUGACCAGGUACACUCGAGCUCUCUUGCAUCAACACACCUCCAAGACCAAUGUCAGAAGCAUCCACGCGCAAAAUAAAAGGCCGAGUGUAGUCAGGAUAUGCCAAAACCGGAGGAGUCGUCAAUAGCUCUUUGAGAUUCACGAACGCCCGCUCACAAUCCGGAAACCAGAUGAAAGAUGACGUUGAUGACUUCAGCAACGCUCGCAAUGGUGUAGUGUGAUCGGAAAGAUGAUCCACAAAACGACCAAGAUACUGCACCUUACCCAAAAAGCGCUGCACAUCAUUCACACACUUCGGAGUAGGGAACUUUAGAACGGCUACAAGUUUGUCAGGAUCAACUUGCAAACCCUCACGAGAAAUACGGUACCCAAGAUAAGUUGUGUCCUUGGACCCAAACACGCACUUUGACCACUUCAGCUUUAAACCAACGUUGCGUAGCCGAUCCAACACUUUACAAACAUCACGAACGUGCUCCUCCCACGUCCCCUCUGAGUGGAUCAAGACAUCAUCAAUGAAGUCAGCCGUCACCUCCGGCAUAUCGCAAAGAACCUCGUCCAUCAUCCGCUGAAAAGUUGCUGGAGCAUUGUUCAAACCAAACGGCAUCACCAAGAACUUGUACAGACCAAAUGGUGUACGAAAAGCAGUCUUAGGAAUAUCUUCUUCGGCCAUCGGUACUUGCCAAUACCCAGAAGCAAGAUCUAGCUUGGUGAACCAACGACUUCGCCCCAGAGGAUCCAAGAGAUCAGCAGUGUGAGGAAGAGGGUACACGUCCGGGAUCGUCACUUCAUUUAACGGACGAUAGUCGAUGCAGAAACGAAUACUACCAUCAGGCUUCGUCACAAGAUGAGGUUCACAUGCCCAAGGACUCCGCGACUUCUGAAUAACACCCUUCUCCAACAUCUCCUUGAUGUUUGCACGUAAAAUCUUGAUCUCCUUGGGUGACCGACGACGAACAGAAACCUUGAUUGGACGAGCAUCCCCGGUUGGAAUCGGAUGACGUGUGGCAAUCUUGGCCCCAGACGAUAGGUCAAAUUCAAAAAGAUCAGAAUACUCCUUCAUGAGCCGGUCAACCGCUGCAACACAAAGAUCAUCGGAGGGAUCGGGAAAGGGAAGAGCAGAACAAGAUGGAAGCACAAGAGGAAACAGUGGGGGAACAAAAGUAAUGGAAGCAGAGGUAGAAGUAGAGGGACGAAGAAGUACGGAAGUGAGAGGAAUGGAUGAAACAUAAGGAAGUAUGAGACAAGGGGGAGAAGCCUCAAAGUCACACUUGGCAUGAUUGCGCUGCAACCAAUCCAUACCAAGAAUGAGGUCAAAAGCUUGACUCAACACCACCCGCAACGACUGCAACUCAAGCUCGAGAUCGCCCACACGCACAACCAGGUCUGCCUCAUCUCGUGCACAUGCAUGUGUACGGCCGUUGCCAUAAAGAAUGAAAACUGGAUCCGCCGCACGACGCAAGUGUAGACGACAACGUGUGGCAACAGAUCGAGCAAUAGAAGAUAAACUCGAACCUGUAUCAACCAACACGGAGAGAAGAAUCGGAGACCUCUUGUUAUAAAAACGAACUUGGAAAGUAAACACUAGAUGAACCGGUGCCGAGUGAACCCCUUGAUGAUACUCUCGAAAGAAAGAUGGAGGGGUCACUAACUUAUUCGCACAAGGUCCCUCCAUUACUCGCGCGACUCCUCGUUUCCCGAAUGCACCUCGGUAUCCAAACCUUCCACCACAGCAACACCAAUGGGACGUUGCUGAUGCCAAGGUCUCCACCCAGGAAAUGGAGGUCGCCAAUCCGGAAAGCGCUGACAACGCCGAUAAGUAUGACCAACUUCAUCACACGCCCAGCAACGAACAUCACGGCCACGACCACGUCCUCGCCCUUGUCCUUGGACUCAAGUAGCAGCAGCAUCAACUUCCAUGGGAACAGGACCAUCACUCAUAGGAAGUGGGGCUGAAAGACGUGUAGCAAGAAGUGGAAGAGGCGACGUCUCAUAACGUUGUGCCAAGCGAAGAGCAUCGUCAAGAGUGGCAGGAGCAAGUGCAUGCACAAGUCCGACAAGAUCUUGACGAAGUGCUGGCCACAACAUUCCUAGCUUGAUUCGCUCCGACAUAUUUGACUCCGCAUAAAGCAAAAGACUUCGGAAACGAACGCCAAAUUGCAUCACCGACUUAGAUGGCCCUUGGCAAAGAUGAUGCAAUUGUUGGAAGGCAUCAUCACAAUCAUUGGCGUGUCCGAAGGCGCGUUUGAAGACGUCCGGAAGAACACUCCAAUCGCCACGAGUGGCUGCGCUCAAUCCAUUGUACCACUGCAAUGCUGUCCCUUGGAGACAUGUGGGGAACUCACGCAAACAUUGAGCAUCAUCCCAAGAAUGAUAUGUGGCAAUCACCGUGAAGUGAUCGAACCAAUGGUACACAUCAUCCCCAGGACUCCCACGAAAGAACUCCGGCCAAACGCAAGGAUUGGCACCAAGAGCAGGAGGAGUUGUACCAUGUGCCGUGAACGCCGCUAUCAACUGAGUUUGGUUGUUCAAUUGCAAGCGCAUAACAUCAAGCAAUUAAACUAACUGCUGCUCUAGAGUCAAAGGAGGAGAUUGCAGAUCAGCUAUGAAGAUAAAUGAAAAAGAAAGAGCAAAAGAAGAUAAAUGACAAAGAGCUGGAAAGAAAUGGUAGAUCUAGACAAUGCAAAAAGCUAGAUCUAAACCAAAAUCCCAAAUCCAAGCACUCCCCAGGGACAAUCAAAGGUGCCCCUCACCUCCACCAAUGUGAGUGCAUGGAAUAUGGAAAGGGAAUACAGAAAUGUGUAUAUCAAUUAGCCCAAAAACCCUAACUUAUAUACAGGAGUGAGUGGUCCGGAUUGAAACCAAUCCGAUGGCUACCAAAAUCCCACUACGCUAAUAUUAGUAUACAGCAUCAUAGCCGUACACUUGGCCCUCACACUAUUUUUAAAAAAUUUUUUAUUAAUAUAUUUUAAAAAUAUAAUCAUUGUAUUAUUUGCACCAUUGAUAUUUAAUGCUAUUAAUGCUCAACCAAGCUCUGUGAUUUCUUGAGUAUGAUAGAGGAAGAACGACAAAAAAUAGACACGCAAGCAAUUGCCAUUCAGAAGAGUGAAGGACUGCAACCACACUUGCCAUUCAGAAGAGCAAAGGACUGCAACCGCAACCAUAGUGAAUCUAGGAAUUGGAUGCUGAACACUGGGCGCUGUGAGACAGAAAUGAACUGUUGUAUAUUGGAGAAUAAAACCAUUAACAGAUAAACAAAAAACCAAUUAAGAAGACUCUUGCUUUAUUACCAAACAAUGCACCAAUAUGAUCAAUAUAUAGGAGUAUAUCAAAAGGUUCAUCAUCAAUAAGUUAUCCGGGGUGGGGGGGUAUGAAGAGCAAAACUUGGUCCUUUCUUUCGUCUCGCCAUAAAAGAAUCCUUUGCCCUCAGGCGGAGGGAAGUGGUAGCGGCGUGGUUAGCUGCUCGGGAGCUUUCGAAACUCCUCCAGAGGUCGGCCUGGAAUAGAGAUUUGAGAUUUCCCCACAAGAGAGAGCGAGAAACUUACAGUCCAACGAAGACUUUGAAGGCGUCGUAGAUUCCCCACUGUGCUCCAGUGAGUGUUCCAAUCAUCACGAUACGCAGCGGUAGCCCCCGGGUGAAGAGAGCCACCGGGCCCAUGCUCUUGACGGCCUGGAGCAAAAGAUAACGAAAUAAGCGCAAGAACAAGAAGAAAACAAGGAUACAUACUUGGCCAAUGGUUGCGUCCUUGGUAUUGUUGAGGAACGAGACAAGGUUGUCAGCAGGGUGCGAGACGAUAGCGCAAAAAAUUCCAGCAAUGUAACCGCCACCAAAACUAACACCCAGCUGCUCCACCUUGCUACACUCGUCCUUGGGCUUGGGAAUAACGUACUUGUAAAGCGCCUCGACCGUGGCCUCAAAGCAUGCAAACUUCAUCAUCGUGUCUGCCAGAAACGAGAAUUUGUCACAAACAAGUCAGCAAAAACCAUUUCUUUCGUCGUGUUUGCGUUCGAGAGUUGGAUAGCUUACAUGGAAUUUGGCGUCCCCAGAGAGGCACCAGUCCUCUGUAAAGUCUGAGCACAGAAAUAGCUAGUGUUAAAAAGGAACAGAGAAGAAAAAGGACAAGAACAUACCCAGGAACGCCCUCAGCCCUCGUGAUUUUUGGCAGGCCAUCGAGAAGCCCAUUAGCGAAUCCGGGCUUGGUUUGGACCCGGACCUUGACGGCCUCCAUCGGGCACAGCGCAAUAUCGGCGAAGAACUCGGCCGAGGCAGAUCCGGCCAAGUAAAUGAAAGUCUUGUACUUGUACGCAUUCUCCUCUCCGGCCAAGUCCGAGUAGUACUUUUUGAAGAACUCGUAGAGGCCAAACUUGAAAGCUCCCUGCGCACUGUAUCCGAACAGCGUCGGAACCCAUCCCUUGAACAAACCUUUGGGGCCAGCCUCCUUGUACAAAACCCCAAAUCCACUGCCGAUAGAUCUAUACUUGGCGGGAUCGAUCUGAGCAAAGAAUCCAUUCAUCAGCCACACGCUUUAAACAAGAAACCCGAGCUUACCUGCAUAUUACACUUGACCAUGUCCAAGGGCGUCACGGCCGUGUGAGUGAGGCCGCAGCUAAGAAUCCCCCCGACAGUGCACGCCGCGUAGAAUUCCGGCGAGUACAUCGCGAUCUUUUUCGACUCGUCUGGGGAUGGGAUGAGAAACCUGGAAGAUUGGAGAGCGCCGCCGCCGCCGCCAUUGAUCGCUGGCGCCGGAGCUGGCGCCUUGAAUCCCUUGCUCUUGUAGAGGAACGAUGGCAGCGCACUGGACCGACGACAGUCUUCCAGCGCCAUUGUGUUCCUCUCGCUCAGCUCAACCCCUGGAGAAAAUAGCUAGGGUAAAGGGGUUUAUUUGACCCCCUUUUCUCGCAUGGACGGCCCAGAUCUUCCUGUUUUCGCAGAUUCGAAUAUACAAGGAGUGUCUGAAAUUUGCUCGCUGGAGAAUUACGGAGUGAAAUGUCCACCAGAAUUUCCAAUCGUCGUUGCUUAUCGCCGUCCGAUUUCUUUUCGUCGCCGGUUUUGGAAUCUUACCUUGACUCCCACACGGCUCACAAUGUUUCUCUAGAACUUUAGAACGUUCUCCCAGUAAUUCAUAGAAGCUGGAUGUGAAGAGAAAUAUAGUAGGGAGUGGAAGCAAGCUCUUGAAACCUCAGAAAUGCAGGCCGAGCAUCUUACACAUCUAGAACACAAAGGACAUGAAAUGACCUGAAAAAAAAAAAAGAAAGAUAGAAAGAGUCAAAACUCUUGCGAGCACGAAAAGAUAGUCAAAAUUUCUGUUCUAGAGGAGAGAUUCGAAGCUACGGGGAAGACUUGCGAGGAGAGAAAAGAAUGUUUGAGCUUUGCUUACUUGCAGGAUCUGAUCGCUUUCACUUUUCUCUUUGGGCUUCAUGUGCUUCGUCACCAUGUUUACGUCCUUGACCAUGAUCCGGCUCCAUUUGCUUUGCCUUUGUCUGCCGAAGAGAGGCGGACGUACAUUCUUCUUCUCCUUGACCUUCUUGAGCUCCGUAUACAAGUAGAAGCUUUGAUCAGGAAAAGUUCCUGCUAGAAAGAAGAGAGCAGCGCUUACCGUCGUUAUGAUCGUGCAUGGUCUGGAUACAGCCUUCCACCCUGGAGCACAUUUCCACAAGAAAAAAUUCUCAGCUUCUCGAAGAACGAUCUCCAAAACAUGAAAUUCCCAUCCAGGCCGUGAGAUCAAAGCACAACACAGCGCCAUCGCGCUCAGGCGGAAAAGGUUACGUGGAUGGCAGGAUUCGAACCUGCGCGGGCAGAGCCCACAUGAUUUCGAGUCAUGCCCGAUAACCACUCCGGCACAUCCACAUUGUCCAAGCACCACAGUCCGCUUUAGACCGGAACUUACGCGCAACAUCUCUUUUGAGGCAACCUAUAGAUUGGGUUUCCAGAGUAUUCGCGUCAUCGGGAAGUUUCAACGGCAGCGAUUGUCGAUCUCUCGAUUGAGAUAAGCUUUUUCCUGUUGCUCCACUCUUCUUUGGAGGUGGUUUUGUCUCUGUUUUCUCGUAAAUCUCACCUGGUCGUAAAUCUUUGCAGGUCUGUACCACCACAGCUAAGAUCACGUACUCAACAUCUAGAAGCAGCGGUCAUUAACGUCAAAUGAAUCAUUGCAAAGAUGAAAAGGUAUGGUUCCUCAUUUUUCUUGUCCAUAGUUCGUGAUGGAUGAUUUCCUUCUUUCCUUCGAUGAUUAGAUUAUGAGUUCCUCGUUUGUGUCUCGCGGCAGGAUCAGCUGGAGCGGAUCAACAGCCUCACAGUGAAGGAGUCUCUUCAAGGAAGUCGGUGAGAAGGAGAGAGUUUUUCUCCUUCGUUUCAUACUUUUGACGAUCAAAAUCCUGUUUUUCGUUUGGUUGCUUCAAGGACGCUGGAGACUCGAUCCGGAGCUCAUGAGAUCAACUCCGUCCAAGGCUUUCCCCCUGGAGGAUCAAGCUCACAGAAGUCAUGUAAGUCGGAAAGUUCCAUGAAGAUCUCCCUGAAAGAGUUUUGCCUUUCGCAGUUACAUGGCAGAGCUGAGGAGAAACAUCGAUUCAUCGCGUUCGUAUAAUUGGGAAAAACCCAUCGCUAUGGCUGUUAACCACAUUUAAUUAAUCAAAGCCUUGGAUUACGAUGUGUGCUUGUUCCCUGGAAAGUUACGGACUGAAAUGUCCAGCAGAUUUUCCAAUCGUCAUUGCUUAUCGCCGUCGGAUUUCUUUUGCUCGCCGGCUUUGGAAUCCUUCUCUUUGUCUUUGUCCUUGUCCCGGAAGCGGAGUUUCUUCCAGCGCUCAAUAGAAUCAAUGACCUCCCCGGUUUUGAUCAAGUAGCGAACUUUAGUUCCAUCCUCGAGGACCUUGUGUCCCACACGGCUCACAACCUCGGCACUGAUGGAAUAGAGCUGGACGUUGGAGCUGUGUAUUGGAGCUUCCACCUGAACAAAAAAAAAGAAAAAGAAAAAAAAGGGGUCAAAACUCUUGCGAGCAAGGAAAGAUAAAAAGAGUCAAGUUCUUGCAGCAAAGUUUCAAUUCUAGAGGAGAGAUUCGAAGCUGUGAGGAGAGAAACGUUUGAUCUUUGCUUACUUGAAGGAUCUGGCCACUUUCGCCCUUCUCUUUGGGCUUCAUAUGCUUCGUCACCAUGUUUACGUCCUUGACGAUGAUCCGGCUCCAUUUGCGGUAGAGCUUCGUGACUUCUCCAACUUUGCCUUUGUCACUUCCGGAGAUCACCUUCACUGUGUCGCCCAGGCGGACGUGCAUUUUCUUCUUCUCCUUGAGCUUCUUAAGCUCCCAUUUUCUUAUCUGUAUACAAGUAGAAGCUUUGAUCAGCUAGAAAGAAGAAAACAUUGCUGCGAGAGCAGAGCUUACCGUCAUUGUGAUCGUGCAUGGUCUGGAUGCCAGCCUUCCACCCUGGAGGACAUUUCCACAAGAAAAAAUCUCAGCUUCCCGAGCUCGAUGCGAUGAGAACGAUCUCCAAAACAUGAAAUUCCCAUCCAGGCCGUGAGACAUUCUCGCGACAACAAUGCAAAGCACAACACACCGCCACCGCGCAAUCCAUGAGCAAAAUCUGGACCAACACACACGGAAUCACGCGCAAUGCGGCCAGAAACUCACCGCCGGAGAGACUUGCAGCGGCGCCAAUCGCCGAUUCCAUCCCGAGCUCGACGAGAAUCCGAGCGAGAGCCCCGCCAUGGAGCUGGCGAGCGACGCCAUGCUCGUCGUCGUCGCCAUAUCCCUACACGCUGGCACUAAAACCCCAAUGACGUGGCAGACUAUACUUCGCCACGUGGAACCCUUUCGGGCGAUUUUACCCUAGCCAACGUCAUAGCUCCAAAGGGCUAGGGCAGCAAUUUUUUUUUUUGCCUUUGAGGGUAGAAGUUGCUGUUGUGGGUUUUGGCGAGGGCACUUAGUUGCCACAGCCCAAAUGGUUUAGUAGACGAAGAGAAAAAAAGGCCCCCGCGGUAUCAAUCGUUUCAAAUUUUUGAAAAAGAAGAGGCCCAAGAAGCCAGGGCGGGCGCCGCCGGGGCGGCCGAGGGCCGGGGGGCGAGGCGGCGGCGAGGCGGCGGCGUCGAGCGUGCGCGCCAUGGCCGAAUCGGGAGCUUCGCGAUGAGGUAACCCGGGAUUUCGUCGCUGCAGCGGCUGCCAGCAUUGGGGAAUUCCUGGUAGGGCACCGCUUGUUCUCGCAGGAUUAGAGCGAUUAGCGCUGGGAGAGGUGUGUGCUGCGUGAGCUUGGCUUUACCCUAGGCUGGCUGGCUACCCGCGAGCUCUCUCGUCACGCAUUUUUUCGAUGCUUCCACUUAGCUCAGAUUUGUGAGGAUGUUUGCUUUGUGUGGAGUUUUUCUUUUGUUUUCUUUUUCUUUGCUUAGAAGGUUUGGUGGAAUGUUUUGGUUCAUAUAUCUUCGUUUCUAAACAGUUUGGUCUUUUCUUCGUUUUGCAGGAACCAAUUUUUCUUUGCAAGCCGCAAGCUCGUAGCUUCAUUUUGAGUAGCUGAAUUUAGCCAUGGAAAAUCACUGCACAGGUCUCGACAACAAGAAGAAACUGGACGUGCUAAAGAAAGACAAGUCGCUACGUGACACGAGAAUGGACCCCGAAGAGCUCAUCGACGCCGACGCGAGAGUUCCGAAUGGGUUGCAUUUGAAACACGGGAAUGGGAUCGUGGACAAGCAGGGAAGUCCUCAGCUGGUUGCACGGGUUUACAGCAGGAAACGAGCGCGAGAUUCUCUAGUGGAUGGUGGCUCGAAAAAGUCAAAGCAAAAGGUCGAGGAGAGGGUGAACCACAUUCUUGGGAAGACUGCGGAUGUAAUUCUGGUGCUGGCCGGGCUAUCACAGAUGCGAGGUGGUAAGCCGCCAACGGAGAUAGAAAUGCAACUGGCGAAUGACGCAGAAACUAAUUUAAGCGCCUUGGUUGCGAGGAUAUCACCAAGCAGUCUCCUGCCAAAGCAGUCACUCGACAGCAUGAUAUCAACAAUGGGAUACCGGAAAACUGUCGAAGGGAGCAUUGAGCCGGCUCCGCGGCCUCAAGAGGUAACGGAGUUUAUCAUUCGUUGUGCUCUUAUCUCAUUGACUUCCUUGCAGGAUGCGAAAGUAAAAGUUGAAGGCGAAGAUUCGGAUUCGGACGAUGACAGCUCCGAGGAUGAUGGAAAUCAGCUUCAAUCAGGUACCUUUUUUUUAUAUUGUAUUUUCGUUGUUCUGUCGUUCUGAAUCAUCUGCUUAGCUUGGGAUCCAUUUAAUGCAGCUCUCCUGACUUCCCCGAAUGCUCUCUCGCUCGACGAUGACGCGGAUGCCGACUUGAAACAAUCUGACGACUACGACGAGAUUGACGAGCAAGCACAGAUGAUUAGACACAAACAGCUUGUGACGCUGGUCCAACAGCUAAAGGCCGAGAGCUAUGUACCCCAGCAGAUGUGCGAUGUCAGCAACGCCUACAUGAUGACGCUGGUACCGUGCGAUCUCUGCCAGUGCAUUGUGAGGGACACAGCGAGUGUGGUGGUCUGCGAUGGCUGCGAGAAAGCUUUCCACUACAAGUGCGUACCAUUUUGGGAGUAUCCAAAAGGCGACUGGUCCUGUCCAAAGUGCAACGGAGUGAAGCCGAGAUAUGGACCCGUGAAGAAAGGCUCUGGGACGCCAAACAAAAUGCCAAUCAGGAAACCCGAAACUAAGCCUACGACUCCUCAGCAAACAGGAGCUACGUCGGCUAAUGGUCCGAGUGACGCAACCAAGCAGCCGCAGCAGCAGAAGGCUCCAUCGCAGGAAGUUAUUGAGGCCAUGGAAAAGCUGAAAGCUCAAGCUCAAGCCGCCCAGGUACAGGCUCAAGAAGCUCAAGCCGAAGCUCAGCAAGUAACGCCCCCAGCUCCGUCUCCGGCCGAAAACGCUGCGACUACAACCCAGCCCGACAACUCGGGCGGCCAAGUUUGCCUUCACGUCGAUUGGGUUGGAGCUCCUACCAAGGUGGUGGACAAGCGAGUCUACUAUAGCUCCUGCUGCGUUGGAGGCUGGACGUACAAGAUAAAAGACUGCGCGCUGUUUCGUCCAGAGUCGCCCGAGAUCCCACCUUACAUUGCAAGGCUUCAGGUACUUCCAAGUUUUCAUUUCUAGUUCUCGCUCAAGCUUAAGUUUUCCAGACUCUGUGGGAGGAUCUCGAGUCUGGCGCAAAGUGGGUUCGCGUCAAUUGGUGCUACUAUCCAAACGACAUGCCAGCGAUUGCGGGUCGACCAGAUGACGCUGAGGCUGGCGAGGUAACUUGAGCAUACAUUCUUUUUAAAGAUGACACACUCACUUCGUUGUUCUUGGAUCAGGUGUAUGAAUCAAACCAUUGCGAUAACAAUUUGGUUGGAUCGAUACAAGGUCCUUGCCAGGUGCUGGUUCCCCAAAAGUACGCGGAGGAGACGGCCAGGCGCCAGAACCUCUUCCCGGCUGGUGCCGCUGACGAGCUCCCUCCAAUCUUCCUUUGCAGGUAACUUGAAAGAAAGCCUGACUUUGUGUGCCUAUAACAAAGUUUCUUCCCGUCAGGUACACUUAUAAUGCUCAGAAGGGAGUGUUCCAGAAAGUCAAUUGGAUCGUAGAGUGAGAGCGAAUGUCGUGCCACGAUUUCUUCUUUUGUAUGGCCACCUCUUUUUUGUAGUGGGGUGGAGAUAUACUUCCCAACGAAAUAUAAACAAAUCGCUGAUGUUUAGAAGCUUGAGCUUGAGGCAAAUAAAAUCGAUACAAUUACCAAAGACGCAAAUCAAAUUAGCCUCACUGUCAUUCGUGUCAAGCUCACUCGUCUCCACGGUUGCCAAAAUAUAGUACAGCUAUCUGAUAUCGACUCGCGGUAGCUCUCCUUUGGAGCAGUCACCAUUUUAAAGGCAUCAGCUGCAAAUGCGAAGCGCAGUAAUGACCCAGGAUUCUGAAAGAAAAAGAAAAGAAAAGAAAACCACAUAGGAGUUGAUGAAAAUGAAAGCUUACCUGGGGAAGGAGGAAGAAUAAGAUGCUAACCGUAUAAGAGAUCUCGAUCAAGAACUUGUUUGGGCAUGGUUCACAGAUGGACCAUCACGAAUACCAGUAGUACCAUCUGCCUUUAGCUCGAGGACUACCUGCUUAAACCAGUGUCAGCUGUGCGAGGAAACGAUUGCAAUAGCAUCAACCUCCAUCACAGCAAGACCAUCCCUCACGGGAAGUGGAGUUGGAGCACGUACAGCUACAAGUGAUACACCAGCUAGUACAAAACCUGAUGGCACGUCGCCUUUGGAAUCGCUAUCGGCUACAGUCUGCGUCUUUCCAAAGGGCGAACGGUGGUAUCCUGAUCACAACAAUUACCAGUGAAACAAAGACUCAAGCCAAGAAAAAGAACGUCCCCACCUAUUGUAGAGAAUUCCAUCUCGAGAAAAGGUUUGUUCGCCGCCCUUGCAUCACAGUCGUGAACCGGAAUUCAUAGAGAUCCGUUCGGCGAGCUUAGAAUCUCUCCAAACGCGCCGGCAUUCCAUACCGCGGGCCAACACAUGGCGUCGAUCGAGAACGUAGAAAGUCUACGAGAAGAAGUACACGCAGUCAAGAAUAGUGAACGACGAGCACCACUUGGCAGAGCCGAGGGAAAAGAGUGUAAGACUCGCCCAGCCUCCUCUACAAGACACGGCAAUGCAUAGCUGCAGUAAGACAAUGACGUGAAGCUCAAAGAAAUCUUACCAGUCGGCUUCUGAACUGGCCGGAAAUCCACUUCAUGGGUGGCCCGCCGAUCAUCCAGCGCGUUAGCGUGCUGCCGAGAAAACGCUGCUGGAUCUUGUCGACAUCGCGCGCCCGAGGAGAGCAAUGCGCCAUAAACCCUAGAAAUCGUCCUGGGCAAAACCUUGUCAAACCACGCGGCAAAGUGUAGGGAAUGGAAUAUUCUGUUAGAUAGGCAGGGGGUAAUCUUGAAAGGGCAGGGCAUGGAUUCUGCCGUUGGCCUGCGAGGGAGAGCUUGGCAGCGAGCGCUGCCGGAUUGAUCUAGGGUUUGCAUUGCGAGCUCCGCGGUUCUUGACCUGGAUUGGAGCGUUCUUGGAUGGAAAUACUGGAGUGAGGUAGAGGGUUUAUUUUUGCGCGGCCUCUUCUUGCGGGAUGGUUGUGCUCGACAUCAAGCCCGGCAAUCCAGGCCCAAGAAUGAAGGGCCAGAGGGACCGAUUGCUGGUCCAGAGAUUGCGGAUUCUCUUCUCCAAUCACUCGUCCUAUCACAUCAAGCUGCUCGUCUUCGUGGUGAUUCUCCUGUCCACGGCGCUGCUGGCGAGGCGCGCGUCCACUCUGGUGGGCUGGAAGCACAGAUUGGAGGAGCCGCAGCGCGAUGAUCAAGAUCUCAGGUAAGAGCACAAAAAAUCUCUCUUGGCAGUGGGAUCCAAGUGUUUGAUGCGAAACUUUCGGGAUUGGAUAUCCAGGCAGCGCUACACGGUGCUUGUCAACACCUGGAAGAGGGAGGAUCUUCUCAAGAAAUCCGUGGCGCACUACGCGUCGUGCAAGGGGGUGGACGCGUUCCGCGUCGUGUGGAGCGAGCCGGAGCCGCCCAGUGACGAGCUGCAUUUGUCGCUGCUGGAAACCAUCGCCAGGAGGCAUCGGCGCGGAUCCAGAGCUCCCGAGCUCCACUUUGAUGUCAACCUCGAGGACAAUCUCAACAACAGGUUUAAGCCCAUCACUGGCCUCAACACCGACGCCGUCUUCUCCGUGGACGACGACGUCCUCGUCUCUUGCGACACCAUGGAGCUUGCUUUCAACGUUUGGCUGAGCGCUAGAGACUCCAUGGUCGGCUUUGUUCCUCGAAUGCACUGGCUCCAAUCUAAGGUACUUGGAAAAAUUCCCUUCUUUUCCCAGUUCUUUGGAAACUUAGAACGAACAAUAGGCUUAGGCUAGUUUCCAGUUCUUUUGCAAACUUAGAACAGUAAGCUUUGCUUCUUUUGGUAUUUUCUUACAGUGGUUUUGCAUUGCCGAUUUCCAGGGCCAAACUCCGACGUAUAGAUACGGAGGGUGGUGGUCUGUAUGGUGGACGGGAUCAUACAGCAUGGUCCUCUCCAAGAUCGCGUUUUUCCACAGCAAGUAUUUGGAGCUCUACACUUACCAGAUGCCUCAGAGCAUCCGGAGCUACGUUGCCAACGAGAGGUUUGUUGCGUCACGUCUCUCGACCUCUUGCGUGGCAAUUGUCUAGCUUUGUUUUGACGCCUUUCGUGACUUUCAACUCACAGGAACUGCGAGGACAUCGCCAUGUCCUUCCUCGUAGCAAACGUCACAAAGGCUCCACCAAUCUGGGUUAAAGGUGCGUAAAAUACGCACUGAACACCUGUGACGGAUUCUAACUUGCUUGUCCGUCUUUGUUGGCCUGUGACGAUGUCUAACACGUAGUGUGAUUGCUUGUUCCAGGCCGCGUUGUAGAAAUUGGCUCUUCUGGAAUCAGCAGCUUGACCGGUCACAGCCACCGGAGAUCCAGAUGUUUAAACCAUUUCGUGACUCUGUUUGAAGGCAUGCCGCUCGUUCCCAGCAGCGUCAAGGCCGUGAAUUCCAAGCGCGAGUGGUUCUGGUGAAGCGGAUUUCGUAUCUCUGGAUUUUGUCUUUUUUGCUGUGUACGCAGUCUUAGUUCGCCGCAGUCACCGCUAUUGUAUCAAAAUCGAUUCUUUAUUCUUGUAAAGUCGAGUUGGUUCUUAAAAGAAAAAAUGCAUUUGGAAGGGGAAAUAUUAAAAUUCGACAUCCAAAUGAUUAAUCGUCACAAGCGGUCUGUGUGUCCUUCUGCAUGUCCAUGGUCACAAUUUUCAAAGCCUUCGUCAAGUGUCCUUCUGUAUGUCCAAUGGUCACAAUUUUCAAAGCCUUUGAAAAGCUUCCACGUGUGUAUCUAGUUUAUAUAUAGAAGAAAAUAGUAAAGAUUGAAUCCAAACCAAAAUCCCACUCAUAGAUGUAUAAAGUGUUUUAAUUGUUGUAUAUAUAUAAUUUUUAGAAGAUCUAGUUAAACCUUAUAAACUUAAAAUCCCUUCUAUUGAGCCUUUUAAACUAAAAUAUAAAUGGAUAACAUAAUGUUAAUUCAUUUUCUCAACCUUGCAUAGAUUUUGGCUGAGAAUACAACUUUAGUAUCAUCAGCUUAUGACAAUUAUAAAAGUAACUUAACUCUAUUAGCUGUAAAACCCUAAAAAUUAAAAGUCACAAUCAACAGCCACGAUCAAUAGUCAUUUCUCUUCAAUGGCAAUUGCUUUCUAGAUUCUAGUGAUAUGCUAAUUUUUUUAAUAUUAUUUUAAUUUUGCAAAUAGUAGGAUAUAUUUAUUGGACAAAUCCACUAUAAACAAAGAUUUAACAUAUUCUUUAUAAGAACAUAAUCAAUCAAUGUUUUGGAUAUUAAAAUAUGCGUAAUUGAUUGUGAGAGGAAUAAUAUUUGCUGAGAUGAAUAGGGUUAUAAAAGAGGCCCUACAACUAUAAAAGUUAUAGUGUUGAUAAUUUAUUCUCCCUUUCAUCUCCAUGCUUUUUUCCCUACAAAAAAGUUUUAUUCUUUUGUGAGAAGUGUAGGCUCUAAGAGGUUGUUUACAUGUGAUAAAAUGACAUAUGAAUCAACCUCUUUGAGCCUAACUCUUUCUAAAAUUCUUUUGCAGAGCAUCAAAAUGAGAGGGAAAACAAGCUAUUAGCAUUAUAACUUUGGGAAUUGAUUAUCACCUCUUGCUCAUAACCCCAUUCAUCUCAACAGUAUUAAUCCUCUUAUAAUCAAUCACAUAAUUAAUAUGUAUGGCUCUUUAAGAUUCUCAUAUAUCUCUAGAUUUUAAAUGGUUGUAUAUUUUGCUAAAAUAAUUAACUUGUUCUUUACAAAGACAUAGCUAAUUAAAGCUCACAAUAUAGAAGAAUAUCUUUGUUCUUUCUUAUCAGUUUCUCCCUAAUUUUUUUUUAAGUGCUAGAGCAAGGAGAAGAUAUGAGAGAAUUCUCUUUGAAGUUUGAUUAAGAGCCUUGAAUUGAGUGUUAUAAGAGAGGACUUAAAGCCAUAAUUAAUUAGUUUGGAGAAUGUAUGUUGCAAUAAAGGUAAUCAGGUCAAAAAAUCUAGUAUCAAUUUUACAGGCAAUUGUACAAAGAGUGAAGGAUGAAGUUGUUAUUCUUUUUACCAAUGAAAAUAAGCUUUUGGACAUAUCUCAAAUAAAGAGGUGUAUUCCUUUUAGAUUAAUUUUUGAAGUAGUGGAUAAGGCAUUUCAGCAAUCUUGAUCAUUAUAGCUAAAAUUGAAGUAAUUCCAGUACAUGAGAGGUGAGGAACUUUUAUCUUCCUACAAUGGGAAUAUAUUCUUUAAAUUUCUAUUGGCCAGCUUGAUAAAUAAGAAGAGGGGCAUGGAAAUAUGUCUUGAUCCACAUAAUUAGUGCCAUUGGCUAGGUUGAUACUUCCCCAUUUUGACAGAUUAGUGUUUAUAAUCUUUCGUGGUGGAUCAGUGAAAAAUGCAUUUCUAAUCAUGGCAAGAAUAUGUGCUUCGAAGGCUCAAUGAUCAAUCCCUUUAGGCAUGAUUAGUGGGUCACUCCCUAUAGAAGGAUGCAAGUCAACAAUGUGUUGAAGUGGAUAUGGUGACUCUAUUGUGAUCAAUGACCAUUAGUCUGGCUCAACUAUUGAGUAUACCAGCUAGUGUUCAAUUGGAAAAUGAAACCAUAUAAUGAGGAAUCACAUCCCAUUAAAACAGGGGCAGAAUUUUUAUGGAGUGCACGUAAGUUUAGUGCAUCUAUGUAGGGUUGUGCAUAUGCUCCUGCCUAUACAUAGGACUUUAUAGAGAGUGCAAGGGAUGCCAUUAUGCACUUGCACUAGAAUUGCUCCAUUUGUGGUUGACACUGCACUGGAAUUGGAACUUGCAAAAUUGCUCAACCCUGUGGUUGAUAUUGCAUUGGAAUUGAAACUUGCAUUGGAAUUGCUCCACCUUGUGGUUGAUGCUACAUGAAAUAGCCAUCCCUGUGUUAGGCUUUGCAUUUAAAUUGCUCAACCUUGUGGCUGACACUACAUUGGAAUUGGAACUUGCAUUGGAAUUGCUCCACCCUAUGGUUGACAAAAGCCACCACAAAGAUUUCCAAUUGCAGCAAUGCCCAAAGCCCAUAAAUUACGGUGGUACUCAAUGGAACCUUCUGCUGCUCCACUUAACAAGCAGAAGGCCACCUCCAACCAGUCAGGGUUCAUGCUUGUCGCGAAUGUGACUUUGGGUAUCGAAAGAUACUUGUCGACCAGUCCUUACGGACACUCUUUCCUUACUGCCAUGAUAGUAGAAGAUCGGUACAGUUGGAUCCCUUUAGUAGCCCCUCUUGUGCUAGUGGAGUUAAUUGGGCAUUUCGAGUGUACUUAGACCGGACGAGCAUAAGGACGGAAUUCCUACGUGUUAUUAGCUAAGCAUACUUAGCCCGGUAAGGAGUUCCCAUCUCGUUUUGUCUUGCACUUGCUAGUGACAAGAACCUUUGCAUAUUGAAACUAGUCCCUCAAUAUCGCUGGAUGAUAGCUUACCGUGUCUGCCAAACACCCUCGCUAUCAUGCCCUUUGUGUUAGUCUCAUUUCGGUCCUAUAUGCUAUUUAUGGAAAGUGUCUAGAUUCGCUCAUUUGGCAUAUUUACGGAAUGUAGAGAUUGGCCUGAACACAAUGGUGUUCGUCCCGUGUCCAAAUUUGCAAUUUAAAGACAUUCCAUAUUUAGUAAGUUUCGAGUUUGUCCCAAAGACUAACUCCUGGUACUAAGGGAGGCUUGGGGUGAAAGCCCAAAACGUAUGUUCCUCAAGGGGGGGGGGGGGGGGGGGGGGGAGGUUCCAAAUGGAUAGUAGGGAUAGUGGUUGGAAUGCAUGUCCGACCACCUGAGACAUUAGUUUGGCUCCUGCUGGGCUGUGUCGCUCCUUGUUCUGUGUUCGGCUUGGGUCUAAGCCCAAGUUCCACGCUGCUCUAGUCGGUGGAGUACUCUCCUCCUCGUGUUAGGCCACCGGUAUGCCAAAAUUGUGCCAGACUCCGUUUGACACCAUUUUGCGUGCAAGUGCUGGAUACGGGGAGCUGGUGCUCGUGGGAUUGUACCGGACCCUUGUUCGUAGCGCAAUGGGCUUGGAGUUCGGCUCCAAAUUCAAGUGCGCUACAUUUGGUAUCAGAGAAAUUGUCUCAGCAAUUCCUAUCCAACUUUUGUCGGAUUUUCUGACUCAAGUUGCAUACGCAGAGACUUUUCUAGUAGAUUCGAAGCGACCUGUGUAGGAUUAGUUGGAUUGCACCAUUCGGUAAGAAUGUUAUAUGCAUGUUCAGUUACUGAUAGAGGCAUGCAUGCAGCUAGCAGGAUGGUGAAGAGGAACCGUGCUGAUGACGCUGAAACCUCUAGACGGGCGAAUCAAGAGGAGGAAACUCCUGCUAGAGAUCCUGCGGAAGAGGCAAAGGCUGAGUCAGAAGAGGAAGAGCUGGAUGCUGCAGCGCUGCAGCGUACAGCUCAGGAAGUCGAGAUCGAGAAUUUGCGAAGGGAGAUUCACAAAUUGAAGAAGGAGAACAAGAAGAGGAAGAAAGAAGUUGAGGCAGCUAAACCAGCUAAGCCUAAGCAACGGGACUCCUCCUCAAGUUUUGAGGAUGAUGAAGUUUUGCAGCCGCCCCCGGUUGCACAAGUUUCAAAGUUCAAGCCCCUGAAACCACCCAACUUCAGAGGCAUGCGGGACUAUUAGGUUUUGGAAGACUGGGUCUACGAUAUGGAAAACUAUUUCAUAGCGGCAGACGUAGAUGAUCAUACGAAAGUUGUGUAUGCGCAAUCCUUUUUCACCGAUCAUGCCAAAACUUGGUGGCACCAGGUGUGUGCUAAAAAAGAGAAGACUAGAAGUUGGACCAAGAUGUGGUCUCAUAUCCGUAAGGAAUACUUGCCGGAUAAUCUUGGUUUGAGACUUCACGCGGAGCUGUGGUGGUUAAAGCAGCGAGGGGAUCUCAUGCAUUACGUUAAUGCAUUUGCUCAGAAGCACAUUAUGAUUGCAAAUAUGAGUGACAAAGAUGCUCGGAGUUAUUUCCUAGAGGGUUUAAGUUCACUUUCUCGUAAUGAGAUUUUGAAGUUUAAACUAAAGACGUAUCUGGAGUGUAAGGAGGCAGUGCAGCAAGUUGCCUUUAGUCACUCGCUCAUGGAACAAUAUCAGCAAUCGUAUGCUGGUAACUCGGAUAAGAAUAAAUUUUUUGAGAAUAAACAAGGUGAUCGGAAACAGAGGGUGGAAGGCAGGUUCUGCUCUGAAGGCUCAGAAGAAACGGUUAACAAAGGUGGUGGUGGUUGGAGACCGCCAGCAGCUUCUUCUGGUCUUAGGCCCUCUGUUCCUCCUCCUGGUGGGUACAAGCAGCAGCAACCUACAAAACCUGCUCCUAGCGGAACGGGUAGUGUGGGUCAUUGCUUCCAUUGUGGAGAGUUGGAACUUAGGUCCUCGGAAUGUCCCAACAAACAUAAGACAAGGUGUCGGGUUAAUGUCAUAAGGGAAGACGGUGGUGUGAAGCUGUAGGGGUUGACGAGUUGGUCAAUGCAGACUAUGAGGAAGAAGAGGUGAGUAACUUUCGUUGCUUUCCUCAAGCUUUUCUUGCAGUCAAUGCAAACACUGAUCCGUUGAUGUAUCUGGUAGGCUUUGUCCGUGGACACCGAAUCUGAGUGAUGAUUAACACGGGAGCUACGCAUAGCAUGAUAUCCGAAGACUUAGUUAAGUUGUUAGGAUUGAAUGCUGAGCAAAUGUCGCCUAUGCACUUCCGGUUUGCAGAAGGUGGGCAAGUAGCCAGAAAGUUUGUGAGUGAUGUUCCAAUAAAGAUAUCUAAGUGGAAAGAAAGAGUGGACUUGGUAGUGUUGAAGACACCAGAUUUUCAGAUGGUGUUUGGUAUGGACUUCUUCAACAAAUAUAUAAAAGGGAUUUAUGGUGCUGGAUAAAGUCGUAUCACAUUGAAGUUAGAAGGAUGUUCUGAUGUAUCCUUUCAGUUGUAAAAGCGUUCCUCAAAGGAUUGGGAUGCAAAGUUCUUGACUGCAAGGGUGCUUAAAAAGCAGCUAAGAGGGGAUGUCAAACCUUUUGGGUUCAAGUGAUGGAAGCUAAGGGUGUUAAUGACUCAGUUCGAAUCAGCGACGGGGUUGAUCCUAUACCAAAGAGGAUAUUGGAGUUGUUGGCGAGGAACCAGGAUAUCUUUCCGAAGGAUUUGCCGCCAGGGCUACCUCCUAGCUGUGAGGUUGAUCAUCGGAUUGAGGUUAUUCCGGGUUCUAAACCACCUACGAAAGCUCCAUAUCGGUUGAACAUCAAGGAGAUGGCUGAACUCAAGAAGCAACUCACGGAGCUUCUUGACAAAGGUCAUAUCCGACCAAGCAAGUCACCUUAUGGAGUGCUAGUCCUUUUUGUUAUGAAAAAGGAUGGAACCAUGAGGAUGUGUAUUGACUAUCGGGCACUCAACAAGAUCAUAGUUAAGAAUAGUUAUCAUUUGCCUCGCAUUGAUGACUUGUUUAACCAACUCUUAAAGGCUAAGUAUUUUACGCGACUUUAUUUGCGGUUCGGGUAUCAUCAGAUACGGGUGGUGGAUCAGGAUGUGGAGAAGAUAGCCUUUAAGACUUGGUACGGAUCUUAUGAGUUCCUUGUUAUGCUGUUCGGGUUAUGCAAUGCUCCAGCAACAUUCAGCACUAUGAUGGAUAGAAUAUUUGGUGAUUAUUUGGACACAUUUGUUGUCCUUUAUAUCGACGAUGUUCUAGUCUUCAGCGAAACGUUGGAGGAUCAUUUGAAACACUUGGAGCUGGUGUUCUAGAAGUUGCGCGAACAUAAACUGUAUGCUAAGGAAAGUAAAUGUGCUUUUGGUCAAUUGCGCGUAAACUUUCUCGGACAUAUAGUUGGUGGUGGCGUGAUUGAGGUCGAUCCAAAGAAGGUGGAAGCGGUGAAGUCUUGGGAAGCCCCGACCAUUAUAUCAGAUGUUCGUUCCUUUCUCGGUUUGGCCGGAUACUAUCGUAAGUUUGUCCGCAAUUUUGGAAGGAUUGUUCUUCCGUUAACUGAGUUGAUGAAGAAUAAUAUUCCGUUUCAUUGGACACCAGUUUGUCAGCGUGCUUUUGCACAGCUGAAGGAGAUCUUGACUACGGUUCCUGUUCUUAGGAUCCUAGAUUUUGAUAAACCCUUCGAAGUGCAUUGUGAUGCAUUUGGCUAUGCUAUUGGUGCCGUGUUGCAGCAAGAUUGUGACAAAGUGGUUGGUGUUACGCUAAGGCAGCAUGGUUGUCCCGUUGUGUUCUACUCCAAGAAAUUGGAUGAAACUCAACGAAGAUGGCCAACGCAUGAGAAAGAAAUGUUUGCUAUAGUGUCGGCCCUGGAACACUAGAGACACUACUUGGGUGGACAUACUAAGGUUUAUACGGAUAGUAACACACUAAGUUACUUUGCAAUGCAGCCUAAGCUUACGCCAAUGCAGGCUCGUUGGCAAGAGAAGCUUGCUAGAUAUGAUAUUGAAAUCAUAUAUAAACCUGGUAAAGAUAAUAUUGUUCCAGAUGCAUUGAUGUAAGCUCCUGAGUUUGGACUUCCCGGGAGGUCACCCAGCCCAGUACUAUUC
rnacentral:lncRNA from 1 species